CGGAGGGUGCAAGCGUUAUCCGGAUUUACUGGGUUUAAAGGGUGCGUAGGUGGGUAGGUAAGUCAGUGGUGAAAUCUUCGAGCUUAACUCGGAAACUGCCAUUGAUACUAUUUAUCUUGAAUACUCUGGAGGUAAGCGGAAUAUGUCAUGUAGCGGCGAAAUGCUUAGAUAUGACAUAGAACACCAAUUGCGAAGGCAGCUUACUACAUAGUUAUUGACGCUGAGGCACGAAAGCGUGGGGAUCAAACAGGAUUAGAUACCCUGGUAGUCCACGCCCUAAACGAUGGAUACUCGACAUCAGCGAUACACUGUUGGUGUCUGAGCGAAAGCAUUAAGUAUCCCACCUGGGAAGUACGAUCGCAAGAUUG
rnacentral:rRNA from 1 species